rnacentral:rRNA from 1 species
AUUGAACGCUGGCGGCAUGCCUUACACAUGCAAGUCGAACGGUAACGGGCCUUCGGGUGCCGACGAGUGGCGAACGGGUGAGUAAUGUAUCGGAACGUACCUUUCAGUGGGGGAUAACGUAGCGAAAGUUGCGCUAAUACCGCAUAUUCUGUGCGCAGGAAAGCAGGGGAUCGCAAGACCUUGCGCUGAUUGAGCGGCCGAUGUCAGAUUAGCUAGUUGGUGGGGUAAAGGCCUACCAAGGCGACGAUCUGUAGCGGGUCUGAGAGGAUGAUCCGCCACACUGGAACUGAGACACGGUCCAGACUCCUACGGGAGGCAGCAGUGGGGAAUUUUGGACAAUGGGGGCAACCCUGAUCCAGCCAUGCCGCGUGAGUGAAGAAGGCCUUCGGGUUGUAAAGCUCUUUCGGCCGGGAAGAAAUCGUAUCAGCUAAUACCUGGUGCGGAUGACGGUACCGGCAUAAGAAGCACCGGCUAACUACGUGCCAGCCGCCGCAGUAACAC